rnacentral:rRNA from 1 species
UGGGGAAUAUUGCACAAUGGGCGAAAGCCUGAUGCAGCAACGCCGCGUGAGCGAUGAAGGCCUUCGGGUCGUAAAGCUCUGUCCUCAAGGAAGAUGAUGACGGUACUUGAGGAGGAAGCCCCGGCUAACUACGUGCCAGCAGCCGCGGUAAUACGUAGGGGGCUAGCGUUAUCCGGAAUUACUGGGCGUAAAGGGUGAGUAGGCGGUUGUAUAUGUCAGGUGUAAAAGGCUAUGGCUUAACCAUGGUUAGCACUUGAAACUGUACAACUUGAGUGCAGGAGAGGUAAGUGGAAUUCCUAGUGUAGCGGUGAAAUGCGUAGAUAUUAGGAGGAACACCAGUGGCGAAGGCGACUUACUGGACUGUAACUGACGCUGAGUCACGAAAGCGUGGGUAGCAAACAGG